AGUGAACGCUGGCGGUAGGCCUAACACAUGCAAGUCGAACGGCAGCACAGUAAGAGCUUGCUCUUACGGGUGGCGAGUGGCGGACGGGUGAGGAAUACAUCGGAAUCUACUUUUUCGUGGGGGAUAACGUAGGGAAACUUACGCUAAUACCGCAUACGACCUACGGGUGAAAGCAGGGGAUCUUCGGACCUUGCGCGAUUGAAUGAGCCGAUGUCGGAUUAGCUAGUUGGCGGGGGAAAGGCCCACCAAGGCGACGAUCCGUAGCUGGUCUGAGAGGAUGAUCAGCCACACUGGAACUGAGACACGGUCCAGACUCCUACGGGAGGCAGCAGUGGGGAAUAUUGGACAAUGGGCGCAAGCCUGCUCCAGCCAUACCGCGUGGGUGAAGAAGGCCUUCGGGUUGUAAAGCCCUUUUGUUGGGAAAGAAAAGCAGCAGGUUAAUACCCCGCUGUUCUGACGGUACCCAAAGAAUAAGCACCGGCUAACUUCGUG
rnacentral:rRNA from 1 species